rnacentral:rRNA from 1 species
AUUGAACGCUGGCGGCAUGCCUUACACAUGCAAGUCGAACGGUAACGGGCCUUCGGGUGCCGACGAGUGGCGGACGGGUGCGUAAUACAUCGGAACGUGCCCGAUCGUGGGGGAUAACGAGGCGAAAGCUUUGCUAAUACCGCAUACGAUCUACGGAUGAAAGCAGGGGACCGCAAGGCCUUGCGCGGACGGAGCGGCCGAUGGCAGAUUAGGUAGUUGGUGGGAUAAAAGCUUACCAAGCCGACGAUCUGUAGCUGGUCUGAGAGGAUGAUCAGCCACACUGGGACUGAGACACGGCCCAGACUCCUACGGGAGGCAGCAGUGGGGAAUUUUGGACAAUGGGCGCAAGCCUGAUCCAGUCAUGCCGCGUGCAGGAUGAAGGCCUUCGGGCUGUAAACUGCUUUUGUACGGAACGAAAAGCCUUCUUUUAAUACAGGAGGGUCAUGACGGUACCGUAAGAAUAAGCACCGGCUAACUACGUG